rnacentral:tRNA from 10 species
AAAAUCCGUCGACUUUAAAAAUCGUGAGGGUUCAAGUCC